ACGGGAGGCAGCAGUGAGGAAUAUUGGUCAAUGGGCGGGAGCCUGAACCAGCCAAGUCGCGUGAAGGAUGAAGGUAUUAUGUAUUGUAAACUUCUUUAGACGUAGAGAAAUAAGGAGGUCGUGACCUCUGGUGCUAGUAUACGUAGAAUAAGGAUCGGCUAACUCCGUGCCAGCAGCCGCGGUAAUACGGAGGAUCCGAGCGUUAUCCGGAUUUAUUGGGUUUAAAGGGUGCGCAGGCGGUCUUUUAAGUCAGUGGUUAAAUCGUGGAGCUCAACUCCAUCCCGCCAUUGAUACUGGAGGACUUGAUUGCGGUCGAGGUUGGCGGAAUUCGCCGUGUAGCGGUGAAAUGCAUAGAUAUGGCGAAGAACUCCGAUUGCGUAGGCAGCUGACCAGGCCGUAAAUGACGCUCAUGCACGAAAGUGCGGGGAUCGAACAGGAUUAGAUACCCUGGUA
rnacentral:rRNA from 1 species